CUGUGGUUUUGUCUUACAUAAAAGUUUACGAAUGAUUCAUUAAAACAAAAAGAGAUGUGAUAUACGUAAAUGAGGAUGCAACCUAACGACACGAAUAAGUAAAAGUCAUCUAGAGGUUAACAUACAGUGGUCGGCACCCGAAAACACUUUUAACCAUUUCAUAUUAUGUAUGUGCCUGUCUCAAGUAAGGAGCCUGUAAAAAAAAAUUAUUUUGAUUUUUUGUAUAUCAUUUUUGUUUUUCGUUUAUGUUUGUAUACAUACAUCAGGUCGUUAGUAUUCUCGUUUUAAUUAAUUUACAUUUUUCAAGUCAGGGCUUUUUAUAGCUUGCUAUACGGUAUGUUUUACUCAUUCUUAAAGGCGCACGGUGACCUAUAGUUGCUAACUUCUUUAUUUGGUCUCUAAUGGAAAUUUAUUUCAUUGGCAAUCUUACCACAUCUUCUUAUUUUAUGGUAAUCAAUAGAUGGUUGUCUUAACAAUAUGACAAGCUGUGAAUAUCCCAAACCACCGAUUUUAUUGUCAUAUUUUUU
rnacentral:lncRNA from 1 species